UGUAAACGAUGUCGAUUUGGAGGUUGUUCCCUGAGGAGUGGCUUCCGGAGCUAACGCGUUAAAUCGACCGCCUGGGGAGUGCGGCCGCAAGGUUAAAACUCAAAUGAAUUGACGGGGGCCCGCACAAGCGGUGGAGCAUGUGGUUUAAUUCGAUGCAACGCGAAGAACCUUACCUACUCUUGACAUCCAGAGAAUUUAGCAGAGAUGCUUUAGUGCCUUCGGGAACUCUGAGACAGGUGCUGCAUGGCUGUCGUCAGCUCGUGUUGUGAAAUGUUGGGUUAAGUCCCGCAACGAGCGCAACCCUUAUCCUUUGUUGCCAGCACAUUAUGGUGGGAACUCAAAGGAGACUGCCGGUGAUAAACCGGAGGAAGGUGGGGAUGACGUCAAGUCAUCAUGGCCCUUACGAGUAGGGCUACACACGUGCUACAAUGGCGUAUACAAAGAGAAGCGACCUCGCGAGAGCAAGCGGAACUCAUAAAGUACGUCGUAGUCCGGAUUGGAGUCUGCAACUCGACUCCAUGAAGUCGGAAUCGCUAGUAAUCGUAGAUCAGAAUGCUACGGUGAAUACGUUCCCGGGCCUUGUACACACCGCCCGUCACACCAUGGGAGUGGGUUGCAAAAGAAGUAGGUAGCUUAACCUUCGGGAGGGCGCUUACCACUUUGUGAUUCAUGACUGGGGUGAAGUCGUAACAAGGUAACCA
rnacentral:rRNA from 1 species